UUCUAUAUAUAUCCACUCACAACAACACAUUCGACAAUUCCUACGUUUCCAUUCCCACCUUCUCCACCCCUCCUCGUCCCAUCGAACAAAUACAUAAAAAUUAAAUUAAUCUAUUAAAUUAAUUAAUUUAUGGAGAGCAGCGCCGCCAGCGUCGUCACCGCCGACGGCGCCGACGCCGAGUCGCGUAAGCCGCAGCCGUCGCGAUUCAAAGGCGUCGUCCCUCAGCCCAACGGCCGGUGGGGGGCCCAAAUCUACGAGAAGCACCGCCGCGUCUGGCUCGGCACUUUCAACCUCGAAGAACAGGCGGCGCUGGCCUACGCCACUGCCGCCCUCCGCUUCCGCGGCCGCGACGCCGCCGCCAAUCUCAGGCCGCCGCCGCCGGCCGCCGACGAGCACGAAUUCAAUUUCCUAAAUUCACACACCAAAUCAGAAAUCGUCGACAUGCUGAGAAAACACACCUACGCCGACGAGCUCCAUUACAGCCGUCGGACCAUCUCCACCACCGAUCCGACGUUGGAUAACAAUUCACCUUCAAUCGCCGCCACCCCGGCGGCGCCGGAGCACCUGUUCGAGAAAUCGGUGACGCCGAGCGACGUCGGAAAACUUAAUCGGUUAGUAAUUCCGAAGCAAUUUGCAGAGAAGCACUUCCCUCUCCAAAUUGGGGGCGCCGGCGACGCCAUUAAAGGCGUUCUGCUGAGCUUCGAAGAUCGGAGCGGGAAGGUAUGGCGGUUCCGGUAUUCGUACUGGAACAGCAGCCAUAGCUAUGUUCUGACGAAAGGAUGGAAUCGAUUUGUGAAGGAGAAGAAUUUGCAGGCCGGAGAUACGGUGAGUUUCCGGCGAUCGGGAAAGCGGCUGUACAUUGAUUGGAAAGCUCGCCGGAGGAGUGGACCGCCGGUUCGGACCGUCCGCCUGUUUGGUGUUGAUAUAUUGGAAACCGCCGCCGUGCACGGCGGCGGUUGCGGCGGAAAGAGGGUGAUCGGAGAAAUGAAUGGUGUGGGAUUUGGUUGUGGGAAGAAGGCGAGGAUUUUCGCCUUGUGACAUCUAAUUUUUUCUAUAAUUAAUUUAUUGUGUUUUGUGAAAAUAGUGUUUUUAUUUUUUUAAAAUUAUGACCUAGGAAUUCAAAUUAGUAAAUGUGAGCAGAUGAAUUUUCCGGUGAAUCUAAUAGUUUGCAAAUUAGAUCCGUAAAUUAUAUGUCUUUAAUGUAUUGGAGUGCUUUUUAUUAGUAUUUUGGUCUUUAUACGUAAAUAAAAUAAUAAUUUUUUGAUAAUUAAUAUAUAGGGACAUGUUAAGAUAUUAAUUAGACACUACAUUGAUUAACUAUUGUCAAAGUAGAUGUGACAAUAUCGGGUCGGUUCGGUUCGAUUUAUUAGGGUCGGGACAGACCCGGCCCGGUUGAAUGAUUUAGAAAUUGAAAUGGUAAUCUAUCAAUAAUAACACAAGACUUUAACAAUUAGAUUAUACUUCAAUUCUUUAUGUAUAUUUAUUUCUUAAUAUAUGCAUAAAUAUAUUUAUUGUAAAUAUAUUUAAAUUAUAAAAUUGGGCUGGACUAAGUAUGGCCUGAUUUCUUUGGGCCCAGGCACAACCCAGUUUACUAUUGUGCUGGGUUAGUCACGAUUCGAAAAUUUUUGAAUCUAUUUUUUUAGGUCGAAGCACAGUCUUUUUGUAUCGGAUCGAAUUUUUGGAUCGUCAAUAUGUGGCGGGAUUGGCGGUCGGCAACAUGUUAAUCUUCCGGUUCCGAUCGAAGGCGUAAUUCUCAUUGUAUCAUAUUCAGAUCACAACCCGUGAGGCCGGUUUAAUUCUGGCGAUCACGUUCAACAUCUUGUCCAAUCGACGCUAAUGACGGCCCUUUCUCUCUCUCUCUAUAUAUAUAUAUGGUUCGACAAGAGUUUAAUUGCAUGACGUUGUUGGCAACACUAGAAGCUUUAGCGUCAUGUAUUGCCUCGUUACAAACCCAAUUAAUUUUGUUGUGCUUCUGCUUCCAUAGGUUAUUUUCCAUGUUUGAUUUUCUAUGGAAUUAUACUUCAGUACGAAUUUGACCCUUAAA